UGCCAGCAGCCGCGGUAAUACUGAAGGUGCAAGCGUUAAUCGGAAUCACUGGGCGUAAAGCGCUCGUAGGUGGCUUUGUAAGUCAGAGUGUGAAAGCCCACGGCUCAACCGUGGAAUUGCAUUUGAUACUGCAUCGCUAGAGUAUAGGAGAGGGAAGUGGAAUUUCUGGGUGUAGGAGUGAAAUCCGUAGAGAUCAGAAGGAACACCGGUGGCGAAGGCGACUUCCUGGACUAUUACUGACACUGGGGGGAGGAAAGGGGGGGGAACAAAAAGUAUUAACUC
rnacentral:rRNA from 1 species